rnacentral:rRNA from 1 species
AGAUAAGACAGCUGAAUGAUAGUCGGGCUGAAGACUCUACUUGACUAGCUGAGAGGAGGUGCAUGGCCGUCGUCAGUUCGUACUGUGAAGCAUCCUGUUAAGUCAGGCAACGAGCGAGACCCACGCCAACAGUUGCCAGCUCGUCCUCCGGGAUGGUGGGGACACUGUUGGGACCGCCUCUGCUAAAGAGGAGGAAGGAAUGGGCAACGGUAGGUCAGCAUGCCCCGAAUUAUCUGGGCUACACGCGGGCUACAAUGGGUGGGACAAUGGGUAUCGACACCGAAAGGUGAAGGCAAUCUCCUAAACCCAUCCGUAGUUCGGAUUGUGGGCUGCAACUCGCCCACAUGAAGCUGGAAUCUGUAGUAAUCGUGUCUCAAAAUGGCACGGUGAAUAUGUCCCCUGCUCCUU